rnacentral:rRNA from 1 species
CAAGGCGACGAUCCGUAGUUGGUCUGAGAGGACGACCACCCACACUGGAAGUGAGACACGGUCCAGACUCCUACGGGAGGCAGCAGUGGGGAAUAUUGGACAAUGGGGGAAACCCUGAUCCAGCGACGCCGCGUGUGUGAAGAAGGCCUGCGGGUUGUAAAGCACUUUUAGUGGGGAUGAAAUGCACAGGGCUAAUACCUCUGUGUUUUGACCUAACCCACAGAAAAAGCACCGGCUAACUCUGUGCCAGCAGCCGCGGUAAUACAGAGGGUGCAAGCGUUAAUCGGAAUUACUGGGCGUAAAGCGUACGUAGGCGGUUUCGUAAGUCGGGUGUGAAAGCCCCGGGCUCAACCUGGGAAUUGCAUUCGAGACUGCGAAGCUAGGGCGCGGAAGAGGGAAGUGGAAUUUCCGGUGUAGCGGUGAAAUGCGUAGAUAUCGGAAGGAACAUCAGUGGCGAAAGCGACUUCCUGGUCCAGCGCCGACGCUCAGGUACGAAAGCGUGGGGAGCAAACAGGAUUAGAUACCCUGGUAGUCCACGCCAUAAACGAUGAGAACUAGACGUUGAGAGGGUAAGCCUCCCAGUGUCGCAGCUAACGCGAUAAGUCUCCGC